GGCUCUCUUCCUCCGCCUACCGGCCGCAGCCGCGGGGACGUUUGCCUUCCCGAUCCUGCGUGGCGGGGAGGGCCGAGGAAGGGGGGAGGCCGCGGGCGCCUGUCUCCCGCCCCGCUGCGGCCCGCGCAACCCGCCGUCCCGUCCCCCCCUCCCAGGGCUCGGCCGCUCACCUUGAGCUGCCCCACGAGUCGCAGGAACUGCAGCAGGGACCUGGGCCCGCGGCCCGAAGAGGCCGAGGCCAUGAGGCCAGCAGUGCUGCAGGGCCGAGCAGGCCGCGUGCAAGAAGACGUUGGUACAGAAAACUGCAGAAUAGCUUCUGUGGAACCCUAAGACAGCCAGCAUCUGUUGGCAGCAUCCAAUAUGAUAUUCAAGAAAGAAGUGCUGCUUCUGCUUGCUAUAUCUUCCUAGAUAAAAGACGGAGAAAGAGAAUUCUGAAUGGAGAUCAAGGACACAUCUUAACUUGCAAAUGUCAAGAAGAAUCUCAUCAUCCUUUGUUACUUUGUGACUGACUAAUAUAUUAGUUAAUUGCUGACUAGCUGCUAAUGAGCUAAUUUGUAUGCACAGACGGGGUCUUAACUGUUAACAUGGGAGUAACGAGCAAAGCUCUAAAGCGCUGCUGAACAGACGCAGCGAGCUGUCCACAGCCCCUCUUGGGGUGGGUGAGAGAGAAGGGUGUGGGAACAGGCAAACUUGGAAACAUUGUGCCUAUCUUCCCACCUACUCA